UUUUUUUUUUUUCCCCCAAGCAGGCUCCACACUCAGCCUGGAGCCUGAUGCGGGGCUCAACCCCAUGACCUGAGCUGAAAUCAAGCAUUGGAUGCUUAACUGGCUAAACCACUCAGGAGCCCCGUCCCUUUAUUUUUAUAGACUUUCUACUAUGACUUUCGUUUCUGUGUACUAUUUCAUCUUGUUCAUGUUCUUGUCCAUCUUGUUCACCAAAGUUAUUAAAUCAUCAUCAGACUGUUGGACCUACUUAGCUUUUCAAAAGAUAGUUUUGAGUGCAUAAGAUAUACCUGGGACUGCGCCGGGUUGACAUUUUUAUGCAGCAUCGAACAGUUUUGGGCCUACGUAUGUAGUUUUCUUCUCUUGGUUUCUUCAGGGUAACUUCCUUGGAGUGUGAGUUUCUUGUUGAGCCUUGCUUUGCAUUGACAGUGCAAAGUGAUUGGGCCAAGUUAGCUUGGGACAGGCCAUAAAUAAGUAUACUAGUUUUGCCGUGUGCCCAUUAGCAUUAAGAAUGAUCAUUUUUUACUUUUUUCCAAAGGUAUCAUUUCAUUUCCCACAGAAGUCCAAAGUGGCCGGGGGAAAAAAGCAGAACUGAUUGCCCUUCAGUCGCCUGGUCUGAGGCCAUGCAUACAUAAUGGCAGGGAGAUCUUAAUCAGUGUCACGGACAUGAGUUCUUUGAGAAGGUCACGAAAGCCCCGCCCCGUCUCCCCAGAAAACGGCUGCCUGUAAUUGCAGGGGGUUCAAGCUCACGGUUUCCCGGGACAUUUGUGCAGAUGAAAUUGAUCAGCGGCAGGAGGAAGAUAGCUGUUGCCUAGGCAACCAGCCGAUGACUCAUCCUGGCUUUGAAGCAGCAAAAGCCAUGAGCCUGCAGUAAUUUUCCAGAUGCUUAACCUGUCCUCCUCCUUCUCUGUCUUUCUUUGUUUUCCUCUCUCCAUCCUUCAUUUCUUUCUGCACCCUCACUUCCCCGGGUCCUCCCUAAACUUGACACUGAGUGCUGCAGGAUCUCUGCAGGGGGUGGGUAUAGGGGGUGGUCCUGAGCUCCCCAGAGCAGUUAUGUGGACCUCAUCCCACCAGUAAUAGGUGGCUUUCCCUGCUGCUGCUCCUUAUGUCUCCUAACCGGGAAAUGGCCAGGCUGUCACCGUCGGUGCUGCAGAGCCCCCAAGAUGCUGCUUGUUGCCCUCGAUCAGAGAACCUCAAGUGAACCCGGCACUUUUUCUUUGAAUCUAAACGGACCACACCCCUUUAUCUCAGAGAUCUGCAGUGUUCCUUUGAGGACAGACAGUUAUCCUGUGGGCCUCCCAAGCCGAGUUGCGACAGUGACGUUUACAGGUGACAGAGGCCACCAUUGGCAGCUCUCUGGAUGCUGGGUUUUCCCAUCCUCCUUUGCUGACGUUCCCCACUCCUCAUCUUGUGUCUGAUGUUCCAGGCCCUUCUUAAUUAGCCAUCGCAAUCGUCUCUACAACGCGGAGUAUAGAAGCUUGAACCGUUCCCCUUCCAAAAGCAUUUUCAUUUUAACAAGGCUUUCAGAAGCAAAAUAUUUUAAAACUCAGGGGAACCAAAUCGUUAGCCUUUUGGAUAAAGAUAUAGGUGGUGGUGGGGGGUUGGGUAGUGAGCUACGCCUGGAAGAGGGUCUUUCUCUGCACGUCGUACGUGCAUCACCCAUGGUGCUGCUGAGGUUGGCACAAAACAUUUUGUGUUGGUUACAAGUUGGUCCCCCAGUUCCAUAUCCCACCCCUACCCGUACAUAUGUACUGUGUCCAUGCACGUCACGUACACACACACACACACACACACACACUGCCUUGAGCAGCAGCAGCAGCUAAUGGGGAGACAACAACAAAUCCCCAGCGAUGAAGGCAGAGCCACCAGGGACACAGACAUACGCUCAUUCUCCUCCUCCUGCGGUGGAGCACGCCGUCCUCUGGUCUCAAGCACACGCUGGGCAAGGAUGCCUUGGCCACCCUCAUGAUCUGAGGAAAUGGCACUGGCUCUGGGAGCACUUCAAUCCCGUGAAGCAUGGGACUCGAGGUGGAUGAGACUUGAGCCGUAUGCACCCUGGCCAUCCAUCCAGUGCGAGCAUUGCUGCUAAAGUGUCUCCCCAUGGCAACCGUGCUGCUGAACUUGAAUCCGCAGGGAUGGGGGCCGCUUGGCUCACAGGGCAGCCCAGUACAUUUUUGAACAGAUGGGAUUGUUCACCUCUUUAUAGAUUUAUGGAGCAAUUCUUUCAUUUGGUAAAGACCGAUGGAAUGCCCUUGGUGUGAGAUGCAGGGGUGAGCAAAACGGUCUUGCCAGGGUGGGGCUCAGGGUCUCCGGGUUGGCGGAAUCAAGGGCACAACCCAACAGCACCGUGGUUGCCAGUGGGGGAGACGGCGACC